GGAUGGUUGACAGAGAGGCUUAUUGUAUCUCUUUGCUAAAGAGACGUCGUUUAAAAGCGACCACAGGUUCGAAUCCUGUACCAUCCUCCA
rnacentral:tRNA from 1 species